AUUUAAAGGCGUAGGGUACAGAGGUAAGAUGUUCUAUCUUUCAGACCUUUUAUUUCACGUAGUUGAAUAGGCUUUAUAGCUGCCCCGGUAGAAAUCUACCGGGGCUUUUUUUA
rnacentral:other from 1 species